UACGUAGGGGGCUAGCGUUGUCCGGAAUCAUUGGGCGUAAAGAGCGUGUAGGCGGCCCGGUAAGUCCGCUGUGAAAGUCGGGGGCUCAACCCUCGAACGCCGGUGGAUACUGUCGGGCUAGAGUGCGGAAGAGGCGAGUGGAAUUCCUGGUGUAGCGGUGAAAUGCGCAGAUAUCAGGAGGAACACCAAUUGCGAAGGCAGCUCGCUGGGACGUAACUGACGCUGAGACGCGAAAGCGUGGGGAGCAAACAGG
rnacentral:rRNA from 1 species